rnacentral:lncRNA from 10 species
GCGGGACCGAGGGCCGCCGAGCGCAAGAUAACCACCGCUUCCAAGAGGCAGAACUUCAUCCUCAUCCUCUAAUGGACUAUGGAAAGAAGAAAAACAGUCCUUUUACAGUGAAGAAACUCAGCAGAUGCUCCCUCAACAUCGCUGGUGGUAAGUCUUGUGGCUACUGGGUACCCCCUGAUACAAUGACAGGGGCACCUCACCUCUGUGAUCUUUUACCCAAAAACUAAUAACCUCAGUCUCAUGAGAAAAACAUCAGACAAACUCAGAUGAGGGGCAUUCUACAAAAUACGUGAGCAGCACUCUUCGAAUGUGUCAAGGUCGUGAAAAACAAGAAAAGACUCAGAACUGUUAGGGACCAGAGGAGCCUCAGGAGAUGACGGAGACUGAAUGCCAUGUGGGAUGCCGGAUGAGAUCAUGGAACAGAAAAAGGGCAUUAGUGGGAAACUGGCGAAAUCCUAAUAGAGUCUGUCGUCCAGCUAAUAAUGUUUUACUAAUGUUAACUUUUUAGUUUUGACAAAUGUAGCAUGAUUAUGUAAGAUGUUCACAUUAGGGGAAGGUGGGGGAAGAGUAUGGGAACUUUGUGGAACUUUGCUGUAAAUCUAAAAUCACUAAACAAAAAUUAUUCAAAAAAUCAGGGUGUAGAUAUUUAUUAGUAUAGAAAUGUAUUCACAACAUAUUAAGGGGAAAGUAUGUAUGGCCUCACAUAGUUUUUGCUGAAUGAGACCGUAUUUGUAAAAACUCUAAUAACAAGGUGUAUGUCUACAUGAAUGUGUAUAUAUGCACAUGUAGGCUGGGCACGGUGGCUCAUGCCUGUAAUCCC